GAUGAACGCUAGCGAUAGGCCUAACACAUGCAAGUCGAGGGGCAUCACAUGAAGUAGCAAUACGGAUGGUGGCGACCGGCGCACGGGUGAGUAACACGUAUGCAACCUGCCUUCAACAAGGGGAUAACCCGUUGAAAGACGGACUAAUACCCUAUAACACAGGGGUCCCGCAUGGGAAUAUUUGUUAAAGGACAACCGGUUGAAGAUGGGCAUGCGUUCCAUUAGCUAGUUGGCGGGGUAACGGCCCACCAAGGCAACGAUGGAUAGGGGAACUGAGAGGUUUAUCCCCCACACUGGUACUGAGACACGGACCAGACUCCUACGGGAGGCAGCAGUGAGGAAUAUUGGUCAAUGGACGCAAGUCUGAACCAGCCACGUCGCGUGAAGGAAGACGGCCCUACGGGUUGUAAACUUCUUUUAUACGGGAAUAAAGUGCCCCACGCGUGGGGUUUUGCAUGUACCUUACGAAUAAGGAUCGGCUAACUCCGUGCCAGCAGCCGCGGUAAGUACUGA
rnacentral:rRNA from 1 species